AGGACACUGCUGAAGUUUUGUGGAGGAACACAGAGUCUGAGACCCUAUGCUGCUGGGAGACUGCUGCCAUUGGUAUCACAGGGACAAGUGCCUCAAGACUUCUGCCUGGUUCUUUUUGUUUGGCCCAAACUUGUUCCCUGAUUGCCCUCAGUGUCCAUAGGGGACUUGGACAGGGACACUCAUCUGAUGCCUACAUUACAAGGUGCACUGUGCAGAGGGCAGCAUUUCUAUUGAUCUCCACAUUUUUAUUUAUUUUUUUUGGUGGGAGAACAACUGUUGGAAGUUUCUGGCAUCUUUGAGCUCGUUAAUCAUAGCUGUGAACUCAGCCCCACCCAGGCAUGAUGUAAGGCUGCCAGGUGUUUAUCGUUUAAUCCUGACCAGCUAUUGGGCUCUCCCACUGAGGUGCUCCUGUUGGCUCUGCUUUUCAGCUCUGUUACGUCACAGUGCUGGGAAGGGUUUUUGGUGUGUUCUGUUCCGCUGCGCGCCCAACUUUCCAGUGUGCUACUGAAAUACCUUCGGCAAUCCACUACCUUAGCAGCGAAUAAAGGUGAAAAGAUAACUGUAGAGGGGAGAAGAGGAAGAGAAGACAGGAAGAGGAACAGGAAGUUUGGACAACUGUUCACUCAAAUCCCUGGAGACCAGAAUGACAAUUCUGCACUUACCUUCUUUCGUUGAUUACUUUGUUGGGAUAGAAACAUACAUAAAAUGAAUUCAGCUUUGAGAGCAGCCUUUGUUACUUUGUCUCCAUGAAUCACUGAAAGGAAAUGUGCUAAGGAUGGUACAAGCAUUCUUGUAAAGAAGAUGCUGAAGAGAUUUUGCGUUGCUAAGGCUGUAGAG
ensembl:lncRNA